rnacentral:miRNA from 1 species
GUGAGCAGACAGGGAGUGGUGGGG